CAGAAGAAAGAAACUCUUACAGGUUUGGAACAUGGACCUUAAGGGUGAGUAAAUGAUGACAGAAUUAAUAUUUUAAUAUCAACAGAACCGUUUUAUUGCACAAAAGGUUCUUUACAGUGGAAAAGUUAAUUCAGAUUCUAUAGAAUCACUGUAAAAAAGACCCUUUUCGUAACCUUUAAGUGUUUAAUGAUGAUUUGGUAAUAUUAUUGUAUGGAAUUUUUCUUUAUUCUGUCCUUUGUGAUCUAUAAAAUCCCUUUUCUACUUAACUUUGAAUUAUCAUAGUCCAUUUAAAUUCACGUAUUCUAAUCCUCUCCAAUGUGACUAUCACAGACAGAUUAACAACAUAUUUCAAGGGCAAUGUGAUCUGCAUGUAAAAAAAAAAAAAAAAAAAUCUGCUUUUUUGUUUGUUCAUAACAAAAUACAUUAAAAUGUAAAUAAAUUUGUCAAUGGAUUACAUUAAAUUAUGAAAACGUGUUAUCGUCAAACAUUAUUUAUAUCAUUUCCGUAACUAAUUAUUCAUGUCUUUCCUCGGCCGACACUAUUUUAGAAGCGUGUUGACUUUGAGAAUUUCUCCUGACCCUGGUAUGCAGCGUGUGCGUCCACUGAGAGCCGCUGACGCAGAUCAGGACUCGGGCAUUCAAUUGAUGGAGUGUGAUAAGGCCUUUUGGGGCAUACUAAUAAGUCAUUUUGAGGUGGAUAUUUAAAAUGUGAGCUGCAACCUCUCAAAUGCUACCAAAGAUAAAUGUGAUUCACUGAAAACAGUGUUGGCUGAUAUUUUGCAUGAAUUAGUCAAACAUUUUUUGAGUUAAUGUGUUUGAGAAAGACGUCUACUAGGCAAUAUUAUUAGUUUUUCAGGAAUAUUAUCUAUUUUCUUCUACAAAAAAAAGGAUUUUCUCCACCUGAUUCUGUUCUAUAUCCCCAUUAUAAAUCUUAUUUGAUUGCUCAAAAAAUAGCCUAUCAUUUUUAUCAUGAAUGGCCCCUUAGUAAAAAGAAAAGAUUUCAAGCAGUCAACAUGCAGGAAAGCACACUGAAAUAGUCUGAAUGACUUCAAAUGUUUUCUGAGGGACUUACUGAUUUGCAAUAGAGCACAAGGACCCCUAGUGGAAGUCGAGGGUAAGGUCGGGUAGGGAGAACCAUUGAGAAGAUGUAUAAGUGGUGAUAUCGAGAUGCGCUCCAUUCAGUGUGAGCCGAGUGAGCGCAAAGGAGGUUCUCCACCUCUAGGACUCUCCUUUACACCUACUCUAUCAGCAGCUGGACAACCUGAUAAAAUGGAUAACAACUGUAAGUACUUGGACAUUAAAAAUUAUAUUUACAAUAUAAAAAUAUAGGCUAUAUUUGCAAUACUGAAAAAAAAUUAUAAGUUAUAUUUUUUAUAAUUAUUGGAUAACUGCAUCUUUAAUGCAUCUAAUUUAUAAUUCAUAAAAAGCUUGAUUAAUCUCCAUUUGUAAAAAAAAAAAAAAAAAAAAAAUAGGGCUAAAUGUGAUGUACCAAAAAAUAUCCAUGCUCAUUGUGUUUAUAGUUCACAGUGAAGGUUGAAAACAGCUGAGGGAUCACCACCAAGCAGCAAAGGACUUUCCCUGUUCCUGGAUAUCCUUGUCGUGCCACCUGUUAAGUGACUAUGUACUGGCUGAUUAUGUGCAAGGAAAACUAAUCAGUUCUUUUACAUUUGUGGAGAAGUAGGCGUGCGCUUUUAGCACCAUGGAGGACAUCUUCAAGGAUCAAGACUUAUGGUCCUUCAAUGAAUCAUCUAGAAACUCCAGCGUCAACAAUGAAACUUAUGGCGUGAACCAGACGGUGAACCCGCUGAAGCGGAAUGAAGAGGUGGCAAAAGUGGAAGUUACUGUAUUGGCCUUGGUGCUCUUCUUGGCACUCGCUGGUAACCUUUGCGUCCUUGUUGCAAUCCACACGGCCAAGCACAGUCAAUCUCGCAUGUAUUACUUCAUGAAGCACCUCAGCAUUGCAGAUCUGGUCGUGGCUGUCUUCCAGGUACUUCCUCAACUCAUCUGGGACAUCACGUUUCGCUUUUAUGGACCAGACAUCCUGUGCAGGUUGGUGAAAUAUCUUCAGACCGUUGGGAUGUUCGCCUCCACGUACAUGCUGGUGCUGAUGUCCAUAGACAGAUGUAUGGCAAUCUGCCAGCCUCUCCGUUCUUUACACAAGAGAAAGGACCGCUGUUACGUGAUUUGUUCUUGGGCACUAAGCUUACUAUUUAGCAUCCCACAGGUUUAUAUAUUUUCCUUACGGGAGGUGGGUUCAGGAGUUUAUGAUUGCUGGGGAGAUUUCGUGCAGCCUUGGGGAGCGAAAGCUUACAUCACGUGGAUUAGUCUGACAAUAUACAUCAUACCGGUGACCAUUCUGAGUGUCUGCUACGGACUGAUAAGUUUUAAAAUAUGGCAAAACUUUAAAAGGAAGACGAAGAGGGACCAGUGUAUCACUCUUACGCCCAAGGCAUCGAAAGGCAGCAUGCUCGCGCGGGUCAGCAGCGUCAAGCUCAUUUCCAAGGCCAAAAUCACCACUGUUAAAAUGACCUUUGUUAUCGUUCUGGCUUACAUAGUGUGCUGGACUCCGUUUUUCUCCGUACAGAUGUGGUCAGCAUGGGAUCCUGAAGCGCCAAGGGAAGGUGAGUUUCUUUUAACAGUUUGAUUACCGUUUUCUGCAGGUGCAGUGUGAAUUGGAUUCUGAACACGGGGCUGACUGUUUUUGAUUCCAGUAAUAUUUUGGUGCCGGUUACAAAGUUUUCCUUUUUUUGCUCCUGGAUUUACAUGCUAUAUUAUCUUAAAAAUAUGAUUUUCACUAUUCCCAAAUACUCCCAUAGUGUAUGAUUGCAUAAAAGAAAAACUUUUUUAAGUUUUUUAAGUUGAACAUUGAUGGAGAAACAGAUUUUGUGUACAAAUAAAUCAUGAACAUUGUUUUUCGUUUUGUUUAAAAAUCUUAUAAAUGUAUGAGGAGACCAGUUGGGCCUUUUACACCACACAGUAUUUAUUCAAAUACUUGAGUUAAAGUAAUGUUUUGAGUAAUAUAAGUUAAUACAAUCACUUUAUCAAAGUUUGUACAGUUUUCCGAUUAUUUAGAGAAAUAAAAUAAUCUAUUCUAUUUAUUUUUCUAAAUUAUUUUUUCAGUAAAAUGAGAUUAAUUAAAAUAUGUUCAUUUUAAAAAUUAAGGAAACAAAAAAGUAAAGAUUACGAAAGCUUUGAAGGAGAUCCCUACCCCUAAUAGUUUAAAAUACAUUACUAACAAUAAAUUGUAUACAUUUUAUUAUAUCAUAUGUUUAAUAUCAUAUUUAUAUGAUAUAUGAUGGUUUCAUUAUAAAUAUAGUGAUUACCUCUGAAGUGGACACCCAACUUAAUAUAUGAUACUUACCAUCUGAUUCGAACCAUGUUAUGUCAACAAAUGGAAAAGUCAAUCAGCCAAUGUUUUCAAUAAAUAAAUAAAUAACUAAAAAAUAAUAGGCACCUUUAAAGCUAAAGUUGUCAUGGACACAAAAAUGAAAUGAAAUAGCCAUUUCAAAACACAUACUUGUCAACCAGUAAUCUGAAUAUUGGUGAUAUUGUUUUAUAAUAUGCAACUUCUUAAUGGAAAAAGCUUAAAUAGUUAUCAACAUUUUUAAAACUUUCAUAAAAUUAUGACAGCAAUGUUCAUGUAUAAAUGGGGGGGCUUUUUAUCAGUCAAAAAAAAAAAAACAGUUAUAGAAAGAACUUUCAAUAAUAGCUUUAUUAUUCUGAAACGUAUAUUAAAGUACCUCUCUAAUUAAAAUCUAGAUAUCAUAUACAGUAGGGUCAGUUAUGACGUCAAUUUGUAGCCCAACCCAAAAGGCUGUUUGUAAUGAGUUCACUUGGAAGUUCCCUCAGGGGUGGCGGUUUUCAAUUAAUCAGCAAAAUGUAACUUCACUCAAAGAGACAUCAUUCAUACGUCAAACAUGAAACCUGAAGCCUGUGUGUUUUAAAAACAUAAGGUUCUACUGUCACCUCAGCAGGAUGGUAUUCAUGUAUGAUAGUGUUUUGAGCCCUGUACUAUCUAAACGGAUGUCACAAUGCUCCCCGUCUCACUUUUUUUCUAGAACGAUAAAGGUUUCAGCUAACAUAUCUGAACAUGGAAAGCUAUUUUCAAUAUAGGCUAGGCAGUUGAAAAUACAAUUAUCAGCUUGGUCACACACAGAUAAGAUUUGAACAAGGUAGCCUAAUGCGUUUUCAGAAUCACGCGAGAUGGUUUCUGACCGUGACAUUGUGUUCUUUCAAAGACUCGAGAAAAGAAGCUGGCUUUGAUUUAUUGUAAUUCUUCAGAUAAGAAGGCUAGCAGUACAGCACUAGAAAUGCUGUGAUGGGCAUCUUACUUUUAAAUCACUACAGAUGUAGUCCGCCAAAAACGGCAGAGCCAUAAAGAGCAGCCUCGGGGAAAUAUUAAUAUUCAGCAGAGCUGCACCACUUAAAUCAUGACCGUCUGCAGUAUGAGAAAUCACCAACCCAAACAAACCCAGGUAGAACUGAUGAUAAAUAACGGUUGUUUUGAAUAUAUAAAAGAAUUAUAUAACCACGACAAUAAUGUAUUACAUAUGAUGAAAUCAUGUGCUCGACAGAUUGUUUUACAAAUAGUAAUUUUGUUUUACGUGCACACAAAAGUCCAGGGGCCUCAUGUAUAAAACUUUCCGUAGAUUUCAUCCUAAUAGUGUACGCACGCACAAAAGUUUUCAUAUUUAUAAAACCAUGCGUAAGCCAGAACCUGCGCAAAAAUCCUUUUAUAAAUCCCUGUCAGCGGAAGAUUGUGCGUACAUGUGUCUCAUGAGAUCUGCAGCUUAAAGAAACUGUGCUGUCAUUAAUGACACACUCCUUGCUGUCAUUAAAACAGCAUGCAACAAGAAAAGUGAUUAAAAAACAGUGCAUUCACUACAAAUACACUAAAUAUCUAAAUUAAUAUGUUUUGUUUAACUUUUGAAUAAUGACUUUAUGUAAUGUCAAUGCUUAACUCCAUUAACCAGCAGAAUAUUUAAUCUAAAUGUGUAUAUUGAAAGGAAAAGAGUGUCUGAAACAGUGUUAAUUUCGUCAACGAAGACGACGAUGAAAAAUAUUCAUUAACAAACUUUUGUUCUGUGACUAAGACUAGACGUUGACCAGCUAAAACUGAUAAAAACUAUGACUAAAUUUAUGCCGCGUCUUCGUUAACAAGACGAGAUGGGACUAGAAUGUUAUUUGAGGACUACCGGACAUUCAAAAUAUAUUAAAUUAAAAUUAACUGUCUUGUCUUUCAAAAUGUGAGUUCCUGUCAUUGGAUUACAAUCGGAUGAGGGGCGUUCGCAUAUCUCAGUAUGGCAGCCACAGUGGACGUAUGGGCUACCAAAACGCGAACUAGCGAUCUGAAACAAUGGCCUCAGCACCUGAAGGGUUAGGGAUAGGGUGACCAGACGUCCCAUUUUUCCCGGGAGUCACAAUUCGUUGUCCAUUAACUUAAAGUUGAAGGCGGGAUAGGCGGAAUCGCGAUUAGUUCUUGGUGCUCAAAUACACACACAGCAGUCGCGUAGCUACGGGUGGGCCCGGGCUCACCCAAUGAGAAGUUUGUAAUUUUCCAAAUUAAUUUAUUAAACGAUAAUGAUGAACAUAUCAUUUCACUGUAACUUUAUUUAUUAACAAUAUUAAACGCUUGUUUUCAUGGUCAAUUAGAGGUCGUUUCUUAGUUUUCCCUCUUCCUAUAGGUGCAUAUCAUCAUAAGCUUGUCAAAAUGAUGAUUCGACCAUUUCGGUUAGUCCCACCCACAAUGUUAUGUUUACUACCUAUGUUUACGACGUGAGGAUAUAAUAGUAAAAUGCGCGCGUUUGCGAAGUUAAAUUUGAAAAUAGCCUAGUGAAGCAAACUUAAAUCAGAUCAAUUCUUUAAAAAGUAAAAGUCUUAGCAAUAAAUCCGGACCGUCUACAAAUGAAACCCGACAGUACACCUGAGGGUGCUGGAUUUAUCGAUCGGAAACUUCUGAACCAAGUGUGUUUGAAACAUCAUAUUAGCAUAGGCACAGUAUUUGAUCCGCUAAACAGAUGUGUCCUUUGUGGAAAGAAACACAUAAACGUUGUGCUAGAUCCUGGUCGCCACGCCAAACUGCAUAAUUUGCAGCUGCACACAUUUCUGCGUUCCUCGAUGCGCAUUAACUGACUGACGUUUGAUUAUGAAAUCAUCUGCGAAACCCAGUUGUUUCAGACUGAGCAAUGCCCUUCAUCAUUUCCAUGUUGCUGGCCAGUCUGAACAGCUGCUGUAACCCCUGGAUCUACAUGUUUUUUGCUGGGCAUCUCUUUCAUGACCUGAAGCAGA